rnacentral:rRNA from 1 species
ACUCCUACGGGAGGCAGCAGUAGGGAAUCUUCCACAAUGGGCGCAAGCCUGAUGGAGCAACACCGCGUGAGUGAAGAAGGGUUUCGGCUCGUAAAGCUCUGUUGUUAAAGAAGAACACGUAUGAGAGUAACUGUUCAUACGUUGACGGUAUUUAACCAGAAAGUCACGGCUAACUACGUGCCAGCAGCCGCGGUAAUACGUAGGUGGCAAGCGUUAUCCGGAUUUAUUGGGCGUAAAGAGAGUGCAGGCGGUUUUCUAAGUCUGAUGUGAAAGCCUUCGGCUUAACCGGAGAAGUGCAUCGGAAACUGGAUAACUUGAGUGCAGAAGAGGGUAGUGGAACUCCAUGUGUAGCGGUGGAAUGCGUAGAUAUAUGGAAGAACACCAGUGGCGAAGGCGGCUACCUGGUCUGCAACUGACGCUGAGACUCGAAAGCAUGGGUAGCGAACAGGAUUAUAUACCCUGGUAGGAUAGCG